AUUGAAAGCUAGCGGCAUGCUUUACACAUACAAGUAGAAAGAAGUUGCCAACGGGUGAGAAACGCGUAGGUAACUGCCUGGUAGCGGGGGAUAACUAUUGGAAACGAUAGAUACACCCGAAUACUACAAGAUGGAACUGCGUGGUAUUAGCUAGUUGGUGGGGUAACGGCUCACCAAGGCAAAGAUACAUAGGCGACCUGAGAGGGCGAGCGGCCACACUGGGACUGAGACACGGCCCAGACUCCUACGGGAGGCAGCAGUAGGGAAUCUUCGGCAAUGGACGGAAGUCUGACCGAGCAACGCCGCGUGAGUGAAGAAGGUUUUCGGAUCGUAAAGCUCUGUUGUAAGAGAAGCGGUAUCUUACCAGAAAGCCACGGCUAACUACGUGCCAGCAGCCGCGGUAAUAC
rnacentral:rRNA from 1 species